UACGUAGGGGGCAAGCGUUGUCCGGAUUAUUGGGCGUAAAGAGCGUGUAGGCGGUUUGGUAGGUCCGCUGUGAAAACUCGAGCUCAACCUCGAGACGCCGGUCGGAAACCAUCAGACUAGAGUCCGGAAGAGGAGAGUGGAAUUCCUGGUGUAGCGGUGAAAUGCGCAGAUAUCAGGAAGAACACCCGUGGCUAAGGCGGCUCUCUAGUACGGUACUGACGCUGAGACGCGAAAGCGUGGGGAGCGAACAGG
rnacentral:rRNA from 1 species